rnacentral:rRNA from 1 species
CCUACGGGAGGCAGCAGUAAGGAAUAUUGGUCAAUGGACGAAAGUCUGAACCAGCCAUGCCGCGUGAAGGAUGACGGCCCUCUGGGUUGUAAACUUCUUUUAUAUGGGACGAAAAAAGGGAAUUCUUUCUCACUUGACGGUACCAUAGGAAUAAGCACCGGCUAACUCCGUGCCAGCAGCCGCGGUAAUACGGAGGGUGCAAGCGUUAUCCGGAUUCACUGGGUUUAAAGGGUGCGUAGGUGGGUAGGUAAGUCAGUGGUGAAAUCUCCGAGCUUAACUCGGAAACUGCCAUUGAUACUAUUUAUCUUGAAUUUUUAGGUAGGUGAGCGGAAUAUGUCAUGUAGCGGUGAAAUAGCUUAGAUAUGACAUAGAACACCAAUUGCGAAGGCAGUUCACUACGAAAUUAAUUGACACUGAGGCACGAAAGACGUUGGGGAUCAAACAGGAUUAGAUACCCUGGUAGUCCACGCCCUAAACCGAUGGAUACUCGACACACANACGANACACUNUUGUGUGUG